rnacentral:rRNA from 1 species
GACGAACGCUGGCGGCGUGCUUAACACAUGCAAGUCGAACGGAAAGGCCCUGCUUUUGUGGGGUGCUCGAGUGGCGAACGGGUGAGUAACACGUGAGUAACCUGCCCUUGACUUUGGGAUAACUUCAGGAAACUGGGGCUAAUACCGGAUAGGAGCUCCUGCUGCAUGGUGGGGGUUGGAAAGUUUCGGCGGUUGGGGAUGGACUCGCGGCUUAUCAGCUUGUUGGUGGGGUAGUGGCUUACCAAGGCUUUGACGGGUAGCCGGCCUGAGAGGGUGACCGGCCACAUUGGGACUGAGAUACGGCCCAGACUCCUACGGGAGGCAGCAGUGGGGAAGAUUGCACAAUGGGAGGAAGCCUGAUGCAGCAACGCCGCGUGCGGGAUGACGGCCUUCGGGUUGUAAACCGCUUUCGCCUGUGACGAAGCGUGAGUGACGGUAAUGGGUAAAGAAGCACCGGCUAACUACGUG